CCAGACUCCUACGGGAGGCAGCAGUGGGGAAUAUUGCACAAUGGGCGCAAGCCUGAUGCAGCCAUGCCGCGUGUAUGAAGAAGGCCUUCGGGUUGUAAAGUACUUUCAGUCGGGAGGAAGGUGUCAAGGUUAAUAACCUUGGCAAUUGACGUUACCGACAGAAGAAGCACCGGCUAACUCCGUGCCAGCAGCCGCGGUAAUACGGAGGGUGCAAGCGUUAAUCGGAAUUACUGGGCGUAAAGCGCACGCAGGCGGUCUGUCAAGUCGGAUGUGAAAUCCCCGGGCUCAACCUGGGAACUGCAUUCGAAACUGGCAGGCUGGAGUCUUGUAGAGGGGGGUAGAAUUCCAGGUGUAGCGGUGAAAUGCGUAGAGAUCUGGAGGAAUACCGGUGGCGAAGGCGGCCCCCUGGACAAAGACUGACGCUCAGGUGCGAAAGCGUGGGGAGCAAACAGGAUUAGAUACCCCCGUAAA
rnacentral:rRNA from 1 species